rnacentral:rRNA from 1 species
UACAGAGGGUGCAAGCGUUGUUCGGAAUUACUGGGCGUAAAGAGCGUGUAGGCGGUUAUGAAAGUCAGAUGUGAAAUCCCCGGGCUCAACCCGGGACGUGCAUUUGAAACUCCAUAGCUAGAGUGUGGUAGAGGAUAGUGGAAUACCUAGUGUAGUGGUGAAAUACGUAGAUAUUAGGUAGAACACCGGUGGCGAAGGCGGCUAUCUGGGCCAUAACUGACGCUGAGACGCGAAAGCGUGGGGAGCAAACAGG